AUGAGGAGAGUCCAGAGUAUCUGGAAUGUGUCAUCACGAGGUCAACAAUUCUCCUCCAGUAUGUGUUCCUGCCAUGAUUUACUGUGCUGCCACAGGCCCAAAGGCAACAGAGCCAAGUGACCAUGGACUGAAACCUCCAAAACUGCAGGCCAAAAUGAAGCUUUACUUCCACUGCCAAUCAGCUUUUAAGUUAAUCAUCUCAGAUACUUUGUCCCAGUGACCAAAAACUCAUUAACAGAGGAUGGCUGUGUUCCAAUAAAAUUUUACUUACAAAAACAA